rnacentral:rRNA from 1 species
ACUUAAGCAUAUCAAUAAGCGGAGGAAAAGAAACUAACAAGGAUUCCCCUAGUAACGGCGAGUGAAGCGGGAAGAGCUCAAAUUUGAAAUCUGGUAGCCUUCGGCUGCCCGAGUUGUAAUCUAGAGAAGUGUUUUCCGUGCCGGCCCAUGUACAAGUCCCUUGGAACAGGGCGUCAUAGAGGGUGAGAAUCCCGUCCUUGACAUGGACCCCCGGUGCUUUGUGAUACACUUUCAACGAGUCGAGUUGUUUGGGAAUGCAGCUCAAAAUGGGUGGUGAAUUCCAUCUAAAGCUAAAUAUUGGCGAGAGACCGAUAGCGAACAAGUACCGUGAGGGAAAGAUGAAAAGCACUUUGGAAAGAGAGUUAAACAGUACGUGAAAUUGUUGAAAGGGAAACGAUUGAAGUCAGUCAUGCUCUUUGGAUUCAGCCGUUCUGCGGUGUAUUUCCAUUGAGUGGGGUCAACAUCAGUUUUGAUCGCUGGAUAAAGGCACUAGGAAGGUAGCACUCUCGGGUGAACUUAUAGCCUAGCGUCAUAUACAGUGAUUGGGACUGAGGAACGCAGCAUGCCUUUAUGGCCGGGAUUCGUCCACGUACAUGCUUAGGAGUGACAG